UUUUUUAGAAAGUAUAUUUUAUUAAGAGAUCGACACCAAUAUUGCCUAAAUAUUUCUCCGGUCUGGCCAAAACAAAAUUCAGAAAUAUUUAUAUCUAUGUAAAAAAUGUAUCAAGGCGGAAUCGUGGUGGCCCAAUGUGUCCCGGAGCUAGCACCUUGAAAGGAUGCGGCACAAUAAUUACCAAGACAAAAAUUAAUAAAAUAAAAAUAAAAAUAAAUUAUAAGAUGGGGACUUGGGUUUUUGUAUAAAGUGUGAACCUGAUGUUGUGGUUCUAUCGGAGUCGUAUGGUUCGAGGAUUUAGAACGAUAAAGACAAUUUCUGAUGUCCUAACUAAGAGGCAACGAAACGGCGAAGCCAAUUCACGAAUACCUCGGCAACGAGACGGCAGAGCUAGUCCACGAAUACCAUAUAACGUAAUUAUGUAUAAUUUCUUUAACCAACCAGUCAAAAUUGACACUUUAAAAUAUUAUUUUAAUAAAUGAUCUAUUGCUUUGUCAUCCUUUGCUCAAACUUAUUUACUCCAAAUAAUUGGGAUAACAUAAAAUUACUUACUUCUUUUAUUAUUGCAAAUUGCUUGUAAAAUGAUUUGAUAAUUAUCUCGAUAUGUUUAUAUAUGCUUAAAAGUAUUUAAUUCGCACUUCGUCAAAAGAUAAAUAAUUAAAACAAGUUCUUUUCAUAUAUAAAUAAAACGCGUAAAAGUUAGCCGACAACAACACAGGGCUGUGACUGAUAAUUAUUUCUUUUUAUUCUUAUUUUAAUUCGGAGAAAACGGACUCUCUCGCUCGCUGUCACUCCUUCGAGUCUCUCUGGAGUCUCUCCAUGACUCUCCCUAGUCUGAAAAGAUUUCAGUGCUUUUUAUAGUAAAAUGAUAGUACCCCCAAUCCAGGGAUAUUGUUGUCAGCGCUUUUAGUAAUCUUUUUAGUUAAUUGUAUUAAUUAUACAUUACAUGAUUAUUAUAUUCAGAUAACAUAUUUAACAAUUGAUAAAUUGACAUAUAUAUAUAUAAAUAAUAAGAAAUUGUGUUGAACAUCGUAUUUGUUAUGACAGAUAAAUUAUUUGUUUGUUUACAAGUUAUUUAAAAUACAGAUUAUACAUUUUUCAUUAAUAAUGUAAAAUGCGCAAUGCAAAGCAUUGAGCAUAUUACGACAAUACACAUAGUCCAACAUAUUUAUUAAUAAAUUAAUUUAAUUCUCAGUAUUGACUGAGGAAAUUGUGACCUUUAGAUCUGUCCGCCGGCGCGAUGUUCAUUAGAAUAAAGACAUUAAAGUCAAAGACUUGCUACCUAAUAAUAAAAGCUCACAAUAUAUGUUUAUUAUUAAAUAAAAUUUAAUAUUGUGAUCUUGUAUAAUCAUAAUAUGUGACAUACAUGUACAAAUGAUAACAUCAUAUUUGAAAGGUUACAAUUAUAAAAAAAAUCAAACUAUUUGGCCGCAACGAAAAAUUUGUAACUUUCAUGGCGCAUUGAGUAGAAAGGGUCGCCAACCCACUUGGCGAGACACUGUAUUGUCGGACCACAGUAGGAUUUAAAAAAAAAUUAAAUAUUGUUAAUUAAAAGCAAUUUAAGAUAAAAAAAAAGAAAUAUAAAAUUAAUAAAGAUUAAAGUUGAUGUCCGUUGAGUCGUUGAUAGUAGAUGUACACCAAAACCUCGUGACAGUUGUCACAUAACCAUAAUAAUGGUUAUAAUGAGGAAUGACCUAAUACAUGGCCAUUACCCGUACCUUAUAAACUAAGGGGAGUUGAUUUUUGAAAGGAAAAAAGAUAAACAAAUACACGAGUCCAUUGAAGAUGGAACGCGCAAAAAAAAAAUAAGAUAAUAGUUAAGUUAAAUUUAGGGGACUUUAUUAAAAAAAAAAAUUAAGUUACUACGAGGCAAAAAACCGAACGGUCAAAAAACCUCGUCUACAAAUUAAAGAAGAACAGAGAGAAAUAAAAAAAAAAACAGAUAUUAAUAAAAAAAAAUACUA